UGGUGGAGUGAUUUGUCUGGCUAAUUCCGUUAGCGAACGAGACCUUAACCUGCUAACUAGCUACGCGUAGCUUCGGUUACAUGGGCAACUUAUUAGAGGGACGUUGCGUGUCUAACGCAAGGAAGUUUGAGGCAAUAACA
rnacentral:rRNA from 1 species